rnacentral:rRNA from 1 species
CCUACGGGCGGCAGCAGUGAGGAAUAUUGGUCAAUGGACGAGAGUCUGAACCAGCCAAGUAGCGUGAAGGAUGACUGCCCUAUGGGUUGUAAACUUCUUUUAUAUGGGAAUAAAAUGUUCCACGUGUGGGAUUUUGUAUGUACCAUAUGAAUACGGAUCGGCUAAAUCCGUGCCAGCAGCCGCGGUAAUACGGAGGAUCCGAGCGUUAUCCGGAUUAAUUGGGUUUAAAGGGAGCGUAGGUGGAUUGUUAAGUAAGUUGUGAAAGGUUGCGGCUCAACCGUAAAAUUGCAGUGGAAACUGGCAGUCUUGAGUACAGUAGAGGUGGGCGGAAGUCGUGGUGUAGCGGUGAAAUGCGUAGAUAUCACGAAGAACUCCGAUUGCGAAGGCAGUUCACUGGACUGCAACUGACACUGAGGCUCGAAAGUGUGGGUAUCAAACAGGAUUAGAUACCCCUGUAGUC